CUUGUGCCAAGCAGCCGCGGUAAAUUCCAGCUCCAAUAGCGUAUAUUAAAGUUGUUGUGGUUAAAAAGCUCGUAGUUGGAUCUCAACAGCCUUGAAGCGGUUAACUUUGUAGUUUUACUGCUUUAUAGGCUGUGCUUUUGCUGGAGGUUUAGGGGUGCUCUUGAUCGAGUGUCUCUGGAUGCCAGCAGGUUUACUUUGAAAAAAUUAGAGUGCUCAAAGCAGGCUAAAAUGCCUGAAUAUUCGUGCAUGGAAUAAUAGAAUAGGAUGUCGAUCCUAUUUUGUUGGUUUUCGGGACUCGACAUAAUGAUAAAUAGGGACAGUCGGGGGCAUCAGUAUUCAACUGUCAGAGGUGAAAUUCUUGGAUCAGUUGAAGACUAACUACUGCGAAAGCAUUUGCCAAGGAUGUUUUCAUUAAUCAGGAACGAAAGUUAGGGGAUCGAAGACGAUCAGAUACCGUCGUAGUCUUAACCAUAAACUAUGCCGACUAGGGAUCGGACGGUGUUAUUCAUGACCCGUUCGGCACCUUACGAGAAAUCAAAGUGCUUGGGCUCCAGGGGGAGUAUGGUCGCAAGGCUGAAACUUAAAGAAAUUGACGGACGGGCACCACCAGGGGUGGAGCCUGCGGCUUAAUUUGACUCAACACGGGGAAACUCACCAGGUCCAGACACAAUAAGGAUUGACAGAUUGAGAGCUCUUUCUUGAUUUUGUGGGUGGUGGUGCAUGGCCGUUCUUAGUUGGUGGGGUGACUUGUCUGCUUAAUUGCGAUAACGAACGAGACCUUAACCUGCUAAAUAGCCCGCAUUGCUCCGGCAGUGCGCUGGCUUCUUAGAGGGACUUUCGGCUCAAGCCGAAGGAAGUUUGAGGCAAUAACAGGUCUGUG
rnacentral:rRNA from 1 species